rnacentral:rRNA from 1 species
UACAGGGGGUGCAAACGUUGCUCGGAAUCAUUGGGCGUAAAGCGCACGUAGGCGGUUCGUUAUGUCGGAUGUGAAAGCCCUUGGCUUAACCGAGGAAGUGCAUCCGAAACUGGCGAGCUAGAGUACGAAAGAGGAUCGCGGAAUUCCCGGUGUAGAGGUGAAAAUUCGUAGAUAUCGGGAGGAACACCGGUGGCGAAGGCGGCGAUCUGGGUCGAUACUGACGCUGAGGUGCGAAAGCGUGGGGAGCAAACAGG